rnacentral:rRNA from 1 species
UACAGAGGUCCCAAGCGUUGUUCGGAUUUACUGGGCGUAAAGGGUGCGUAGGCGGUGGGGUAAGUUUGAGGUGAAAGCUCCGGGCUCAACCCGGAAAAUGCCUUGAAAACUAUCCGGCUAGAGGGUUGGAGGGGAGACUGGAAUUCUCGGUGUAGCAGUGAAAUGCGUAGAUCUCGAGAGGAACACCAGUGGCGAAGGCGGGUCUCUGGGCCACUACUGACGCUGAGAAGCGAAAGCAUGGGGAGCGAACAGG